CCUACGGGAGGCAGCAGUGGGGGAUAUUGCACAAUGGGGGGAACCCUGAUGCAGCGACGCCGCGUGGGUGAAGAAGCGCCUCGGCGCGUAAAGCUCUGUCAGCAGGGAAGAAAAUGACGGUAACUGAAGAAGAAGCCCCGGCGAAAUACGUGCCAGCAGCCGCGGGAAUACGUAGGGGGCAAGCGUUAUCCGGAUUUACUGGGUGUAAAGGGGGCGCAGGCGGGGAUGCAAGACAGGAGUGAAAGCCCGGGGCCCAACCCCGGGACUGCCCUUGGAACUGCGUGGCUGGAGUGCAGGAGGGGCAGGCGGAAUUCCUGGUGUAGCGGUGAAAUGUGUAGAUAUCAGGAGGAACACCGGUGGCGAAGGCGACCUGCUGGACUGCAACUGACGUUGAGGCCCGAAAGCGUGGGGAGCAAACAGGAUUAGAUACCCCGGUAGUC
rnacentral:rRNA from 1 species